rnacentral:rRNA from 1 species
CCACAACGGGUGGAGCCUGCGGUUUAAUUGGACUCAACGCCGGGCAGCUCACCGGAUAAGACAGCUGGAUGAUAGCCGGGCUGAAGACUCUGCUUGACUAGCUGAGAGGAGGUGCAUGGCCGUCGUCAGUUCGUACUGUGAAGCAUCCUGUUAAGUCAGGCAACGAGCGAGACCCACGCCAACAGUUGCCAGCAUGUCCUCCGGGAUGAUGGGGACACUGUUGGGACCGCCUCUGCUAAAGAGGAGGAAGGAAUGGGCAACGGUAGGUCAGCAUGCCCCGAAUUAUCCGGGCUACACGCGGGCUACAAUGGUCAGGACAAUGGGUAUCGACACCGAGAGGUGGAGGCAAUCUCCUAAACCUGUCCUUAGUUCGGAUUGUGGGCUGCAACUCGCCCACAUGAAGCUGGAAUCCGUAGUAAUCGCGUUUCAAAAUAGCGCGAUGAAUAUGUCCCUGCUCCUU